CAGAAUAGUCUAAAUACCAGGACCACAGAGAGAGACCAGCUACAGAAUAGUCUCACAACCAAAACUAAGGAGAGAGACCAGUUGCAGAAUAGUCUAAAUACCAGGACCACUGAGAGAGACCAAUUAAAUACCAGCCUUUGGUCCUAUGAGAAACCCUGUCUGAAGGAAUGGUGGAAGUUUGGCACCAGCUGUUAUUAUGUCUCCUCCACGAGGGACUCAGGCGGGGACGGUGAGCGGCAGUGCAGAGCAAUGGGUGGAGAGUUGGUUGUUAUAAACAGCAGAGAAGAACAGAUAUUUAUCAAUGGAUUUAAGAAGAAUGUCUGGAUUGGUGCAUAUAAAAAAGAUGGAAUCUGGAACUGGGUUGGCAACUCAACAUUUAAACCUACCUAUUGGAUGGAAGGGGAACCAAGUAACUUGAAUGACAAGGUGGCUUGUAUUGAGAUCUCACAGACGGCAUCAGACCCAUUGAAGAGUUGGAAGGGUAGAAUAUGUACUUCAAAUUACUGGGUAUGUGAAAAACCGUUCACACCGUAGUCUAAUUAUAAUAACUAAUGUAAGCCCCUAUCUUAUGGAGUUGCACUGGUUUUCCCUUUGUUAGGCCUAACGUGUUUCUAUGUGUAUCUACAUUGAAAGAUGUAUUUGAUGUCUUUAAAGAGACCAGGGCUAUGUGGAGUUUGUCCACCGUUCAUCAGGCCCAGGGGAGUGGAACUGUGGUCUAGUAGGCUCCAACUGUGGUCUAGUAGGCUCUAACUGUGGUCUAGUAGGCUCUAACUGUGGUCUAGUAGGCUCUAACUGUGGUCUAGUAGGCUCUAACUGUGGUCUAGUAGGCUCUAACUGUGGUCUAGUAGGCUCUAACUGUGGUCUAGUAGGCACUAACUGUGGUUGACAUUUUUUUAAACUAUAUUUACAAUUUUUACCAUUUAAUGUGUGCAUAUAACAAUUGAAUAAGAUUCUGUUUUCAUUUAAGUUUUUACA